CUCAGAGUGAGGGAGAGAGACUCCUCCAAAGCAGCUUUAUGAAACAAAAGGCCGUCUGAUUAAAUCUCAGGAGCGGCGCCCUGCCCUGUGGCUUGUGUUUGGAUGGCUGUGUGCAAUCAUUACCUCACUGCCAGGUAAGAACUGUCUACAGAUCUGACAGCAUCCAAACCUCCAAAGAGUGAAACAUGAAAUAAAUGCACAACAAUUCCUGCACUGAAACAUAAUGGCAAAAAAAUUUGAAAAAACUAAAGAGCCCAAGAAGGCCCCAAAAAGGAAGCCACCACCAAUGGAAUAUUCAAGUGAUGAGGACCCUGGAUUUCCUGUUGAU